ACGCUGGCGGCAGGCCUAACACAUGCAAGUCGAGCGGUAGAGAGAAGCUUGCUUCUCUUGAGAGCGGCGGACGGGUGAGUAAUGCCUAGGAAUCUGCCUGGUAGUGGGGGAUAACGUUCGGAAACGGACGCUAAUACCGCAUACGUCCUACGGGAGAAAGCAGGGGACCUUCGGGCCUUGCGCUAUCAGAUGAGCCUAGGUCGGAUUAGCUAGUUGGUGAGGUAAUGGCUCACCAAGGCGACGAUCCGUAACUGGUCUGAGAGGAUGAUCAGUCACACUGGAACUGAGACACGGUCCAGACUCCUACGGGGGGCAGCAGUGGGGAAUAUUGGACAAUGGGGGAAAGCCUGAUCCAGCCAUGCCGCGUGUGUGAAGAAGGUCUUCGGAUUGUAAAGCACUUUAAGUUGGGAGGAAGGGCAGUUACCUAAUACGUGAUUGUUUUGACGUUACCGACAGAAUAAGCACCGGCUAACUCUGUGCCAGCAGCCGCGGUAAUGCAGAGGGUGCAAGCGUUAAUCGGAAUUACUGGGCGUAAAGCGCGCGUAGGUGGUUUGUUGAGUUGGAUGUGAAAUCCCCGGGCUCAACCUGGGAACUGCAUUCAAAACUGACUGACUAGAGUAUGGUAGAGGGUGGUGGAAUUUCCUGUGUAGCGGUGAAAUGCGUAGAUAUAGGAAGGAACACCAGUGGCGAAGGCGACCACCUGGACUGAUACUGACACUGAGGUGCGAAAGCGUGGGGAGCAAAC
rnacentral:rRNA from 1 species